rnacentral:rRNA from 1 species
UGGGGAAUAUUGGACAAUGGGCGAAAGCCUGAUCCAGCAACGCCGCGUGAAUGAUGAAGGCCUUAGGGUUGUAAAAUUCUUUCGCUAGGGAAGAUAAUGACUGUACCUAGUAAAGAAGCUCCGGCUAACUCCGUGCCAGCAGCCGCGGUAAUACGGAGGGGGCUAGCGUUGUUCGGAAUUACUGGGCGUAAAGCGUGCGUAGGCGGAUUAUUAAGUAAGGGUGAAAUCCCGAGGCUCAACCUCGGAACUGCCCUUUAAACUGGUAGUCUUGAGUUCUGGAGAGGUGAGUGGAAUUGCUAGUGUAGAGGUGAAAUUCGUAGAUAUUAGCAGGAACACCAGAGGCGAAGGCG